rnacentral:tRNA from 1 species
GCGCUCUUAGCUCAGUUGGUAGAGCAUCUGACUCUUAAUCAGAGGGUCCAGGGUUCGAGCCCCUGAGGGCGUA